CAGAAAAUAGUUUAAGUAGAAUGGUAGCUUUGGGAGUUGCUGGUGGGGGAUGAGGCCUUCUUUUCUGA
rnacentral:tRNA from 1 species